UACAGAGGUCUCAAGCGUUGUUCGGAUUCAUUGGGCGUAAAGGGUGUGUAGGUGGCGCCGUAAGUCGGGUGUGAAAUUUCGGAGCUUAACUCCGAAACUGCAUUCGAUACUGCGGUGCUUGAGGACUGGAGAGGAGACUGGAAUUCAUGGUGUAGCAGUGAAAUGCGUAGAGAUCAUGAGGAAGACCAGUGGCGAAGGCGGGUCUCUGGACAGUUCCUGACACUG
rnacentral:rRNA from 1 species